rnacentral:rRNA from 1 species
GACGAACGCUGGCGGCGUGCCUAAUACAUGCAAGUUGAGCGCUGAAGGUUGGUACUUGUACCAACUGGAUGAGCAGCGAACGGGUGAGUAACGCGUGGGGAAUCUGCCUUUGAGCGGGGGACAACAUUUGGAAACGAAUGCUAAUACCGCAUAAAAACUUUAAACACAAGUUUUAAGUUUGAAAGAUGCAAUUGCAUCACUCAAAGAUGAUCCCGCGUUGUAUUAGCUAGUUGGUGAGGUAAAGGCUCACCAAGGCGAUGAUACAUAGCCGACCUGAGAGGGUGAUCGGCCACAUUGGGACUGAGACACGGCCCAAACUCCUACGGGAGGCAGCAGUAGGGAAUCUUCGGCAAUAGACGAAAGUCUGACCGAGCAACGCCGCGUGAGUGAAGAAGGUUGUCGGAUCGUAAAACUCUGUUGGUAGAGAAGAACGUUGGUGAGAGUGGAAAGCUCAUCAAGUGACGGUAACUACACAGAAAGGGACGGCUAACUACGUG